rnacentral:hammerhead_ribozyme from 1 species
AUACUGCUGAAGAGUCCCAAAAUAGGACGAAACAGCUGUCAAGUAC